AAAAACUCCGGUGGUGUGAGAUGGAUCCGCGUCUGAUUAGCCAGUUGGCGGGGUAACGGCCCACCAAAGCGACGAUCAGUAGCCGGCCUGAGAGGGUGACCGGCCACAUUGGGACUGAGACACGGCCCAAACUCCUACGGGAGGCAGCAGUGGGGAAUAUUGCACAAUGGGCGAAAGCCUGAUGCAGCGACGCCGCGUGAGUGAAGAAGUAUUUCGGUAUGUAAAGCUCUAUCAGCAGGGAAGAAAAUGACGGUACCUGACUAAGAAGCCCCGGCUAACUACGUGCCAGCAGCCGCGGUAAUACGUAGGGGGCAAGCGUUAUCCGGAUUUACUGGGUGUAAAGGGAGCGUAGACGGCGAAGCAAGUCUGAAGUGAAAACCCAGGGCUCAACCCUGGGACUGCUUUGGAAACUGUUUUGCUAGAGUGUCGGAGAGGUAAGUGGAAUUCCUAGUGUAGCGGUGAAAUGCGUAGAUAUUAGGAGGAACACCAGUGGCGAAGGCGGCUUACUGGACGAUAACUGACGUUGAGGCUCGAAAGCGUGGGGAGCAAACAGGAUUAGAUAUCCUGGUAGUCCACGCCGUAAACGAUGAAUGCUAGGUGUUGGGGGGCAAAGCCCUUCGGUGCCGC
rnacentral:rRNA from 1 species